UCCACUGUUUUUGAGGUGGAUCCAAUGAUGGAGAGCGCUCCAACGACUGAACGCUGGUGAGAUCGUUAGUCAAAGUUCUUAUUGUUGUGAGACAACCAGCAUUAAUUAUCCUAACUUGGACGAGCUCAAUUCCAUCAAGAUUUGUUGUUGGAUUCGGGAAGAAGAGGGGCUGGAAUACUCCCUUCGUCACCCUCGCAGGUCAUUCUCUUUGUGCACAAUCCUCAGCUUGUAGUUCUCUGGCAACGUCCUUAUCUGAUCCCUCUUCCAACUGAUGGGCUUGAAGGCUCUAGAGCUUUGGUAUUUAUGCAUAAUCAACUACAAAUCCAAGAAGAGUGGAACCAACAAGAGCUUCAAGAAACUCGAAAAGAGAUGGCUGAAAUUAGGAGGAUGCUACAAUUAUUUAUAUCUCAAAAUCAUGCACCUUCUCAAAUAAAUCAAGGAGGCCAUGACGAAGAUGUUGAUCCAACUCCACCAACUUAGUAGUUGGUGUUCUUAUGUUGUGACUUAUUUCUCGUAUUUGUUGCUUGCUUGUGAUACUUUUGAGUUUUA